AUAGCGCAUAGUACCGUGAGGGAAAGGUGAAAAGAACCCCGGGAGGGGAGUGAAAUAGUACCUGAAACCGUAUGUCUACAAGCAGUCGAAGCGAAAGCGACGGCGUGCCUAUUGAAGAAUGAACCAACGAGUUAUCUGCACUAGCGAGGUUAAGUGGAAGACACGGAGCCGCAGCGAAAGCGAGUCUUAAGAGGGCGCUAGUUAGUGUAGGUAGACCCGAAACCGCAGUGAUCUACCCAUGUCCAGGUUGAAGCGCAGGUAAAAUUGCGUGGAGGACCGAACCGGUGAGCGUUGAAAAGCUUUCGGAUGAGAUGUGGGUAGGGGUGAAAUUCCAAUCGAACGCGGAGAUAGCUGGUUCUCCCCGAAAUAGCUUUAGGGCUAGCCUGAGGUAGUAAGUAUAGGCGGUAGAGCACUGAUCGGGCUAGGGGCCGUAAAGGUUACCGAACCCUGUCAAACUCCGAAUGGAUAUACUGUAGAGCCUUGGAGUCAGACUACGAGUGAUAAGAUCCGUGGUCAAAAGGGAAACAGCCCAGACCACCAGCUAAGGUCCCCAAUGUCGUACUAAGUGGAAAAGGAUGUGGGGUUUCAUAAACAACCAGGAUGUUGGCUCAGAAGCAGCCACCAUUUAAAGAGUGCGUAAUAGCUCACUGGUCGAGAGACCCUGCGCCGAAGAUUCCCGGGGCUAAAGUACGAAACCGAAGCUGUGGCUGUAUACGUAAAGUAUACGGGGUAGGGGAGCGUUCCCAUAGGGUAGAAGUCGAACUGGAAGGUUCGGUGGACUUGUGGGAAGUGAGAAUGUUGGUAUGAGUAGCGAAAAGAAAGGUGAGAAUCCUUUCCACCGAAAGCAUAAGGAUUCCUGAGCAACGAUCGUCGUCUCAGGGUAAGUCGGGACCUAAUCCGAGGCAGAGAGCGUAGGAGAUGGACAACUGGUUGAUAUUCCAGUACCGGUAGUAAUUGUUUGAGCAAUGGAGUGACACAGAAGGGCAGGCAAGCAUGCGAAUGGAAGAGCAUGUGUAAGCGUGUAGGGUGGUGCAUAGGCAAAUCCGUGCACUGAAAGCCUGAGGCGUGAUGCGGAGUGAGCAGAGAUGCGAGCGAAGUUGUUGACCCCACACUGUCGAGAAAAGCUUCUAGUGAGAGAGCUACCGCCCGUACCGUAAACCGACACAGGUAUGCGGGGAGAGAAUCCUAAGGUGCGCGGGAGAACCCUCGUUAAGGAACUCGGCAAAAUGUACCCGUAACUUCGGGAUAAGGGUAGCCACUGUUGUGAAGUCCCAUGCGGAUGGAGCAUAGAGUGGUCGCAGAGAAGAGGCCCAAGCGACUGUUUACCAUAAACACAGGUGCCUGCUAAAGCGAAAGCUGACGUAUAGGUGCUGACACCUGCCCAGUGCCGGAAGGUUAAGGAAGGAUGUUCGGAUUAGUCCAAAGCAUUCGACUGAAGCCCCGGUGAACGGCGGCCGUAACUAUAACGGUCCUAAGGUAGCGAAAUUCCUUGUCGGGU
rnacentral:rRNA from 1 species